AACAAGGAUUCCCCUAGUAACGGCGAGUGAAGAGGGAAGAGCCCAAGAUUGAAAGCUGGCGCCUUCGGCGUCCGCAUUGUAAUCUCAAGAAGCAUUUUCCGCUUCGGACCAAGCCUAAGUCCCUUGGAAAAGGGCAUCGUAGAGGGUGAGAAUCCCGUACAUGGCUUGGAGCGCCCGAGGCUUUGUGAUAUGCAUUCUAAGAGUCGAGUUGUUUGGGAAUGCAGCUCAAAAUGGGUGGUAAAUGCCAUCUAAGGCUAAAUAUUGGGGAGAGACCGAUAGCGAACAAGUACCGUGAGGGAAAGAUGAAAAGAACUUUGAAAAGAGAGUUAAACAGUACGUGAAAUUGCCAAAAGGGAAGGGUAGGAGGUCAGAGAUGCGGCAUGGGAUUCAGCCUUGCUUUUGCUUGGUGUUUUUCCCAUUUUGCAGGCCAACGUCGGUUUUGGGCACUGGAGAAUGGUGGGAGGAAUGUGGCACUCUUCGGGGUGUGUUAUAGCCUCCUACUGGAUACAGCGACCGGGACCGAGGAACGCAGCGUACUCGAAAGAGCGGGCCUUCGGGCACCUUUACGCUUAGGGCGUUGG
rnacentral:rRNA from 1 species